rnacentral:rRNA from 1 species
CCUACGGGGUGCAGCAGUGAGGAAUAUUGGUCAAUGGAUGAGAGUCUGAACCAGCCAAGUAGCGUGAAGGAUGACUGCCCUAUGGGUUGUAAACUUCUUUUAUAUGGGAAUAAAAUGUUCCACGUGUGGGAUUUUGUAUGUACCAUAUGAAUAAGGAUCGGCUAACUCCGUGCCAGCAGCCGCGGUAAUACGGAGGAUCCGAGCGUUAUCCGGAUUUAUUGGGUUUAAAGGGAGCGUAGGUGGAUUGUUAAGUCAGUUGUGAAAGUUUGCGGCUCAACCGUAAAAUUGCAGUUGAAACUGGCAGUCUUGAGUACAGUAGAGGUGGGCGGAAUUCGUGGUGUAGCGGUGAAAUGCUUAGAUAUCACGAAGAACUCCGAUUGCGAAGGCAGUUCACUGGACUGCAACUGACACUGAGGCUCGAAAGUGUGGGUAUCAAACAGGAUUAGAUACCCUAGUAGUC